rnacentral:tRNA from 1 species
GGGCCAGUGGCGCAAUGGAUAACGUGUCUGACAACGGAUCAGAAGAUUCUAGGUUCGACUCCUGGCUGGCUCG